UACGUAGGGUGCAAGCGUUGUCCGGAAUUAUUGGGCGUAAAGAGCUCGUAGGCGGUUUGUCGCGUCUGCUGUGAAAACCCGAGGCUCAACCUCGGGCCUGCAGUGGGUACGGGCAGACUAGAGUGCGGUAGGGGAGAUUGGAAUUCCUGGUGUAGCGGUGGAAUGCGCAGAGUAUCAGGAGGAACACCAAUGGCGAAGGCAGAUCUCUGGGCCGUAACUGACGCUGGAGGAGCGAAAGCAUGGGGAGCGAACAGG
rnacentral:rRNA from 1 species